GAUCAUCUUCUUCGGCAGAAUCACCGAAUUUCUUGAGGCUGCUGUGAUACCGAUAGCUAUAUUGACAUUCAUCUUCUACCUGGAAUACGUAUUAGCAAGGAAAUUCUUUUUGCAACCACCGGGGAGUGAAGGACAGCCAUUGCCCCUCGCACUCCGCAACGCGGAAGUCUUUCACGUCGCGAACUACUACUUCUUCGUCAGUACCCAGCGUAACAUAGUCUCACGUCGCGCCUGGGGUGUUUGUCAUCAGUCGCACGAUGACUUCUUUCUGGCUCAGCAGCAUCAUGAUGUGUCGCCUUGAUCGGUCGGUGAUGAUACGCGGACACGAACGCCUAGACAUGGGUCACAUGAGCUACCUGGGCAUGAUCGAGACGGAACAUGCGCACACGCAUCCCGUCGUACUUGUCUUCUGCCAAAUACUGAUCGACGCCGCGCGCAGCAGACGAGCCGCAUCACGUGACCCCGCCGCCGAGAAUGACGUCACGACGACGGUAGCGACACCUAUGUCGCAAAGACAGCUCGCGAUGCGGGCGACGUCGGCGACGGAGAGCGUGGUGACGGUCGAUUUAAGAUUUCCGGAUGACGACGACGGCGAGGGGGGUGAGUUGAGGAUGGAGCGAGAGAGCGUGUGCGACCC